ACCUCAGCCAACAUGCUCCCAAACAGCCUUGGUAACUUGCUGUUUCUCACUCACAGAACUUUUACCUCCUUUCACAGUACGCAUUAGCAAGGCGGAGAGACUUCAGUGGCUGGAGCUGGUCCAGUUGAAUUCCACAGGAACCUGGCUCCACUCAGUUCCGUCCACACUGGAUGGGGGACAGAAGUGUGGCCACCUGGAACGCACAGCCAGGCCAUGGGAUGCGACUAGAUGAUGGAGCCUGGAGGCCUCACGCUGCUGGGACACGCCCUGGGGCGGGAAGGGGUCUUCAAAGGCCCAAGUAAUCACUGUAAUCUUGACACAAAAAUAACAUUGGUGUAUUAGAUGGCAAGAGAAAUCACUCCACUAUUCUACAGGAACUGUCAGCACAAACUACCUGGACAUCAAGUCCUACCAGUCACUUCAAGAAAUUAUGCAAGCUUCAGCAUUCAAUCCAGACAAUCUGCACAUGCAAUGGUUUAUUUGCUUCCCUGAUGAAAAAGGGAGUGUGUGAAUUUUUCCUUUGUCGGUAAAACUUAUCUAGGGUAUGUUUGAGUCACUUUUCUUCCCUAUUCAGAAUUGCUGUCACCUUGGUCUUCCUUAUUUAUUACCUCUACAGCUCUGCUCCGGUCAGAGUCACUCUCACUUCUCACCUGAUUGCAAGAGCCCAAGGAAGAUCUCCUCCUCCUCAGCAUGUUCCUAACACAGCAAUCUGAGCACCUUCAAGUCAAGGUGGCAGCUGGCCAGGUGUUCUCAGGCACAAAUGAAGAAUUUAGAAUGAAACGCGUUGGACUGGAAAUGCUCAGAGUAGGUGAUGAAAUCCAGGAAAGCCCCUUCUGGAUAGCUUUGAACUGCGGCUUUUGUUCCUUCAGAUGGACUCAGCAGAGGGGGACCCAAUGACCUCUCCUACAGACUAGUCGUUCUUGUCAUGGAUUUUAAAGAACAUGGCUACUGGUCAAAGGUGAUGAAGUGAAAGGGUAAUUCUUUUGCCUACUCCCUUAAUCAUUUUCUGGUCUAGUGAUAAAAAAAUGAAACAAAACAAAAAAAAACCAACUAUUUAAAUGCCCAAACUGAGAAACUAACAACCAAAAAACAGGGUUGGAGGACACCAUCAACAUUCUCAGCAAGGAACUCACUGACUGUAUAUCAAGAGCCACAGAUAGCUCAUAACCUUUGACUCAGUGAUCUUUAGACUCCUAGACUCUGAAGCAAGGCCCAGCACUCUACAGGCCUUAGGCUUGCUGCUUAAUUUUGUACAUCUUGUGCACUAAGGAUGGCUUUUACAUUCUUCAGUGGUUGAAACAAAAUGUAAAAAACAAUAGCAUUUCAUGACACAUUGAAAACUAAAUAAAUUCAAAUUUCACUGCACAUACAUAAGUGUUUUUGAAUUUAGGUAAAUCAUAUGUCCUCCAAAGCCAAAGACAUUUAGUAGCUGUCCCUUUAUAGGAAAAGGUUGCUGACCCUUGAUCUAUCCAUAAGAAGUAGUCCCCAAAAUGGAGAAGAAAUGAUAUGGAGGAAGCUUAUGCUGUGUGAUUUACAAUAGAAAAAUUAGAAAAAUGUGAUUGUUCCCUCGGGGAUAUAGAUAUUAAGUAGACUGUGGUACAUCCACUCAAUGGAACUUUUAAAAACCACUACAAUUGAAGGUGUUGAUUAUCUCAUAUUGAAAAAUAAAAUGGCUGUGUUAAUAAAGGUAGAAAACGUAAAAGCCGAAACUUGGGUAACUAAGUGAUUACGGCCUUUAGUUAGCCAAGUCCUUCAUUAUCCAACAGUUAUCCGGUUAUCCAGUUUCAAUGGAAACUAGGUUAUUAAGGCACAUAACUUACAUGUGAGAGAAAACGACUUAAAAAGUAUUCAUAGUAACUGGGUAGCAGUGAUCAAUUUUGUUGAUUUUUUUCCUCAUCUCUAUUUUUAUUUUUUCCCUGUAAAAAUGUUCAUGUUACAUAUUAAAAGCCUUAAUGAAAAGAUGGGAAAAAAAUAUUAGUGGCUAUGAAAGGACAGCAGAAAGCUCUCUUCAAGACAGAGACUGCUUGGCAGGGCUUAGCAGGGAGUCCCUGACAUCAGGGACAGUAGCUCGUUCUGCUCCAGCAAUUUCUGUCUUUAUCUUCUUCACUGUGGAUCUUUUCAGAAAACAGAAGAGUGGGCUGCUUUUCAAAACCAUCUGUUUCCUUUCCCCACCAACCCAGAGAGCCAGCAGGCAUGAAAGACUUUCCCUUCAUUUAAUAAAUAUAAAUGAAUUUA